rnacentral:rRNA from 3 species
CUCAGUAGUUAAGUGACGAUAGCCUAGGAGAUACACCUGUACCCAUGCCGAACACAGCAGUUAAGCCCUAGAACGCCUGAAGUAGUUGGGGGUUGCCCCCUGUUAGAUACGGUAGUCGCUUAGCAAA